GCCGGAAUGAUGGAAUCGGUAGACAUAGCGGUCUCAAAAACCGUGGCCUGUAAAGGCGUGUGGGUUCGAGUCCCACUUCCGGCACCA
rnacentral:tRNA from 1 species